rnacentral:rRNA from 1 species
AACGAACGCUGGCGGCAGGCUUAACACAUGCAAGUCGGGCGCCCCGCAAGGGGAGCGGCAGACGGGUGAGUAACGCGUGGGAAUCUACCCAUCUCUACGGAAUAACGCAUGGAAACGUGUGCUAAUACCGUAUACGUCCUUCGGGAGAAAGAUUUAUCGGCGAUGGAUGAGCCCGCGUUGGAUAAGCUAGUUGGUGGGGUAAAGGCCUACCAAGGCGACGAUCCAUAGCUGGUCUGAGAGGAUGAUCAGCCACACUGGGACUGAGACGCGGCCCAGACUCCUACGGGAGGCAGCAGUGGGGAAUAUUGGACAAUGGGCGCAAGCCUGAUCCAGCCAUGCCGCGUGAGUGAUGAAGGCCCUAGGGUUGUAAAGCUCUUUCACCGGUGAAGAUAAUGACGGUAACCGGAGAAGAAGCCCCGGCUAACUUCGUGCCAGCAGCCGCAGUAACAC